CAAGACAGGCUCUGUCUUGUUUUUGUGUUCUCUGUAGUCCUUCGUGUCGUUUGAGGAACGCUGCAAACACACUUAAAGAAACGUGGGUGCACACAAAAGGCUUGCCUGAAGGCCUGCCAGGCUGCAAAACCCAACAAGAAAGUCCUGAAGGCAUCGUGCCCCGAGGCCGACAUGUGCCGCUGCUCGUACGAAGACGACUGCACAGAAGACAUAUGCCGUGAGUACUGUAAAAA